CAUUUGAGAGAGAGCAUAGAAAGGUAACCAAGUGGGAGCUUUCCAUAACUCCGGCGAAAUUCUUGGUGGCUUCCGAUGGAUCCUUUCUCGGUAUAUCCAUUGUCAUUCCUGUGGACGAUGAUGCAUGAUCCGGUGUGGUACAAAUCUGAGCUCAACAUCAAGAACACUUCAUUGGUGGUGUUGAAGAAGCUUUAAGUCGUGUUUGGUUCGGUACACUUUGAGAGUUUAUUAUUUCGCAUUGUAGUUGUAAUAAUUUUUUGUAUACUACACUUUAAACUCAACAAAUGGUAUCGGAGCUUAGGCUAGUGGUAAAAAGUGUUAAAACAACCUGAAAAUCGGAUUGGAAGUCGAAAGGGUACGAUUUUGUUCGAAAACAAGUUCAGCAGAAACUUUGAACCCAUUUUCUGGAACAACUACACAUAUGGUGGACAAACAGAGACCACCACCAGACUCCAAACAUCAAGCAGAACAUUCCGGUGCAGCGCGUGUUGAACAUGCGCAGGUGGUGGAGGUGGCGCGUGAGACCACGCGCAGAGAACAAAGGCGGCGCAUGAGGGUGCAUCAUGAGGUUUCAAUCAGAGGUCAAAAAAGACAGAUUGUUUCUUGAUGAAUUUCUGACCUUCUAGUGGUGUUGGAUUUCAGUUUGGUACACUGUGGAAGCAGAUACAAUCUUGGGCAGAAAAGUGGAAACGGAGAAACUUUUCCGUUGGCGGCUCGGUGGUGUUUCCUAGUAUUUCAGUAGCUGUUGGAUGACUUAGGGCAGAUACUGGAGGCUUCAAAUCAAUAAAGACUCGCAUCUCUCCUUAAAAUACGAACCAAUAGAUUGGUUUUCGCAUUCUAACGCCCUCUCGAAUUUACAAUUGAAAUAUUGUGUUAUUUGCUGCCAUAUUGUUACUUGACUCUUGUGAUAUUGGUUAUGUGU
rnacentral:lncRNA from 1 species